GACGAACGCUGGCGGCGUGCCUAAUACAUGCAAGUCGAACGCAGUGGGGACGGGUGAGUAACACGUGGGUAACCUCCCAUCAGAGGGGAUAACACUUGGAAACAGGUGCUAAACCGAUACUGAUGGAUGCACCCGAGGUGCAUUAGCUAGUUGGUGAGGUAACGGCUCACAAAGGCCACGAUGCAUAGCAGACCCGAGAGGAGGACCUGCCGCACUGGGACUGAGACACGGCCCAGACUCCUAUGGGAGGCAGCAGUAGGGAGUAUUCGGAAAUGGACGAAAGUCCGACCGAGCAACGCCGCGUGAGUGAAGAAGGUUUUCGGAUCGUAAACCUCUGUUGUUAGAGAAGCGGUAUCUAUCCAGAAAGCCACGGCUAACUACGUGCCAGAAGCCGCGGUAAUUC
rnacentral:rRNA from 1 species